GACGAACGCUGGCGGCGUGCUUAACACAUGCAGGUCGAACGGUAAGGCCCUUCGGGGUACACGAGUGGCGAACGGGUGAGUAACACGUGGGUGAUCUGCCCUGCACUUCGGGGUAAGCCUGGGAAACUGGGUCUAAUACCGGAUAGGACUCCGGACUGCAUGGUCUGGGGUGGAAAGCUUUUGCGGUGUGGGAUGGGCCCGCGGCCUAUCAGCUUGUUGGUGGGGUGAUGGCCUACCAAGGCGACGACGGGUAGCCGGCCUGAGAGGGUGACCGGCCACACUGGGACUGAGAUACGGCCCAGACUCCUACGGGAGGCAGCAGUGGGGAAUAUUGCACAAUGGGCGCAAGCCUGAUGCAGCGACGCCGCGUGAGGGAUGACGGCCUUCGGGUUGUAAACCUCUUUCAGCACAGACGAAGCGCAAGUGACGGUAUGUGCAGAAGAAGGACCGGCCAACUACGUGCCAGCCGCCGCCGUAA
rnacentral:rRNA from 1 species